rnacentral:rRNA from 1 species
GAUCAUGGCUCAGGAUGAACGCUAGCGACAGGCUUAACACAUGCAAGUCGAGGGGCAGCACAGGUAGCAAUACCGGGUGGCGACCGGCGCACGGGUGAGUAACGCGUAUGCAACUUACCUAUCAGAGGGGAUAACCCGGCGAAAGUCGGACUAAUACCGCAUGAAGCAGGGGGCCCCCGCAUGGGGGAUAUUUGCUAAAGAUUCAUCGCUGAUAGAUAGGCAUGCGUU